AAACACCCGCCGGCUGAACGGAAAUCAUUGAUGUUGAUUAAUAUGUUGUUUUUACAACGGUGGUUA
rnacentral:tRNA from 1 species